UACGGGGGGGGCAAGCGUUGUUCGGAAUUACUGGGCGUAAAGAGCUCGUAGGCGGCUCAGUAAGUCGGGUGUGAAAACUCCAGGCUCAACCUGGAGACGCCACCUGAUACUGCUGUGGCUAGAGUCCGGUAGGGGAGCAUGGAAUUCCUGGUGUAGCAGUGAAAUGCGUAGAUAUGCGGAGGAACACCGGUGGCGAAGGCGACCAUCUGGACGACAACUGACGCUGAGACGCGAAAGCGUGGGGAGCAAACAGG
rnacentral:rRNA from 1 species